CCUGAAUUGGGUCUCAAGUACCUGAAAAAUACCUUGAUCCCCAAAACACUUAAGCAGGUGCUUAACUUUAAGCACAUGUGUAGUCUCAUAGAAGUUAAUUAGCCUUCUCACCUAAAUUAGGCAUGUGACAACUUGCAAGAGUAGAGCUGAAGUGUGAUAUAUUUUUCAAGGGAGCUACAGCUCCCAACACUGUGGCUUGUGCAAUGUCAUACAGGAAUCCUGCGGCAGAACUGGGAACAGAGUGGAAUACUAAAUACUCCACAAAAUAACAGGAGCGCAAUUACUUUGGAUUUAGUGACUAGUUCAGAUAUGAGAAGCAAUGGACCUGGCGUGUAACUCAGGGAGGUUCUGACAUCCAUUAAUCUGAUUGCUGAGACUUGCAUUUCAGCUCAUUAAAGAAAGAACUAAACAGUACUGAUUGAGACAAGCAUGGAAAUGGCAAAAGUUUCACUCUGGAUCAACUUUGUGAAGAUCUUCACAUUUCACGUGGGAAUGCUUACUACAAGUUUUUAAUCUGCUUUACAAGACUCUGACUGGUUGUACUGGUACCACUUCAUCCU